rnacentral:rRNA from 1 species
UUUACCAAAAACAUAGCCCCUAGCAUUAUACAAGUAUUAGAGGUGAUGCCUGCCCAGUGACAUUGUUCAACGGCCGCGGUAUUCUGACCGUGCGAAGGUAGCAUAAUCACUUGUCUUUUAAAUAAAGACUGGAAUGAACGGCUAAACGAGGCUCUAUCUGUCUCUUACAGGAAACCAGUGAAAUUGAUCCCCUCGUGCAAAAGCGAGAAUAAUAACAUAAGACGAGAAGACCCUGUGGAACUUUAAAUUAAAAGCUAACAACUAAUAAACCCACAAACCAUACGGAGCACAUAUCAUGAUUUCACUUAGCCUUAAUUUUCGGUUGGGGUGACCUCGGAGAAAAACGAAACCUCCGAAGACUAAUACCAAGAACAACAGACCAAAGUGCCUCCAGCAAAACGAUCCAAUACAUUUGAUUAAUGAACCAAGCUACCCCAGGGAUAACAGCGCAAUCCCCUCUUAGAGUCCCUAUCAACGAUGGGGGUUUACGACCUCGAUGUUGGAUCAGGACAUCCUAAUGGUGCAGCCGCUAUUAAGGGUUCGUUUGUUCAACGAUUAACAGUCCUACGUGAUCUGAGUUC